rnacentral:ncRNA from 1 species
CGGCCCGAGAGGGUCGGGAAACCUCUGAACCACCUCCCGUGAUAGGGAUCGGGGCUUGGAACCAACCCCCAUGAACGAGGAAUUCCCGGUAGGCGCGGGUCAUCAGCCCGCGUCGAUCACGUCCCUGCCCUUUGUACACACCGCCCGUCGCUACUACCGAUUGAACGGUCCGGUGAGGUCCUCGGAUCUGGCCGACGAGUCCGCUUACGCGCGGCGACGUUCCGCGCCGUCGUCGGCGCGUUCUCAGAUGGCCUGGAGAAGACGACCGAACCCGAUCGCUUAGAGGAAGUAAAAGUCGUAGUUGGUGAAUGCUGCCAUAAUUC